AAGAAGGAAAAGUCCAGAAGGAAAAACAGCCAGAGAAAGAAGAGAGAGAGGAGAGAAGAUAAACAGAGCAAGACGAGGCCAGGCGGGAAGAGAUGCAGCCAAGAGCAGCACCGAAGAGGAGAAGCAGAGGCCAGAGGGCCUGGAGCAGGUGAGAAAACCAGAAAGAAGUAGUCUCAUACCUGGAAUUUCAUCCAGUAGCUGGAGUACCUGUCCUAUGUGGUAGAGGCUGUCCAGCCAUGCACCCCCUCUCUGGAUUUGGUACCCAGAGUCAAGAUCCCCAGGAGUAGGUGUGAGUGCUGACUCAUGUUGCACUGAACAUCCCAUCAUCAAAUCCCAGCUCCAUCUGCUCAUCCUGGUCCAAAGUGGACGAUAAUCCCAUUGUUAAGACAUGUCUCAUUAAGACUUCUCUAAGAUGGAGCCAGCAAACAGCCCAGUAGCAUCGAGGCUGCUGCCUGGGAAAGAGUCCCCUCCUCUCCCCUGUUCAUUAAUGAUUAUGGGAGGUUUUAUUCCCCCCAACAAAAGUGUUAAUUAGACAUCAUCGGAACAGGGAUAUUACACAAAUGAAUUAAACUCAAACCAAUCAACAAGCUGGCUCUGUGCUUCAGGUCCCCCGAACGAAAAGGGAAUUGAAGGCUGUAAUGGGAAACAAACGGUAAGAUGUCUUUCCUAAUAUCAAAUAAUAACUAGGAAGGCUGCCUUUGCUUCUAGAACUUGUCUUCUUAUUCUUUUCUUUCUCCCCUCCACUAAACACACACACGCGCGUGCACACACACACAUGCACACACACGCACUGCCAUGAGGCUUGGAGAGUUAGGGUUCCAUUCUUGUGACUGAAACUGAAACUGGCUGGGACUGCCCAGUGGUACUUCUCAGGUGCCCUCUAGGCUCAGGGGCCAAGUGGGAUGGAAGGAGUCAGAAGAGCCCAGUUCCAGUCCCUCUCUGUCACUCACCACCUUCCUCAUCAGAGAAUAGUGUGUGUAAUGCUCAGGAGUUCACAGGGAUGCAGUAGGUACUCAAUACUUACCUGCUGUGUCCAAAUGGCUGGGCGACUUCUGGAAGCAUUCUGUGCCCUGGCAGCAAAUUCCUGAGGCUGAUUGACCCCUGUGGGGAGAGUGGGAAGAACUGGAGGGAAAAGAGUUUUAGUCCUUGUAUUUUGAGGGAUCCCAGUUGCUUGGAGGGAUAGAUAAAGAAGAUUGAAAAGUCUUCUAAAAAUGGACAGAUGAAGCCAGUGCAAUGGCUCAUACCUGUAAUCCCAGCACUUUGGGAGGCAGAGGCAGGAGGAGCACUUGACCCCCAAAAUUUGAGACUAGCCUGGGCAACAGGGUUAGAAACCAUUUCUACAAAAGAAAAACAAUUAGCCUGGUGUGGUGGUGCAUACCCUUGGCCCCAGCUACUUGAGAGGCCAAGGUGGAAGGAUUGCUUGAGCCUAGGUGGCUGAGCCUGCGGCUGUGAUCACACAACUGCACUCCAGCCUGGGCAACAGAGCCAGAUCCUAUAAAUGAGAAAAAGAAAAGAAAAG